AUGUGUGUAUCAAAAGACCAAAAAGGAAUGGGUUUUCGAGACAUACAUUGUUUCAAUCUGGCCUUGUUAGCCAAACAAGCGUGGCGCGUGCUUGAUAAUCCUGAUUCCCUAUGUGCCACCAUUUUGAGAGCUAAAUAUUUUCCGGAUGGAGAUUUAAUGAAUGCGAGUCUGAAAAAAGGAUCUUCUUUCACUUGGCAAAGCAUUAUGGCCGGAGUGGAUUCUCUCAAAAAAGAUUGUAUUUGGAGAGUUGGUAAUGGACAGAAUAUUGAUAUUUGGAGAGAUGCAUGGAUCCCGAAUGGGGCCAAUAGGAAAAUUAUCACUCCUAGAAGAGGGCAGCUUCUAACAAAAGUUACUGAUCUUAUAGAUCCAAUCAACAAUUGCUGGGAUGAAGAUUUGGUAAGACAAACGUUGUGGCCAAUUGAUGUCCAGAGGGUGCUUACGAUCCCCCUCCCCACGCAUAACAUGUCGGAUUUCAUGGCUUGGAGUUUUACAAGAAUGGAC
rnacentral:rRNA from 1 species